rnacentral:tRNA from 1 species
GCGCCCUUAGCUCAGUUGGUUAGAGCGCCUCACUUUUAAUGAGGAUGUCCGCGGUUCGAAUCCGCGAGGGCGUACCA